rnacentral:rRNA from 1 species
CACGUAGUUAGCCGGGGCUUCUUACUCAGGUACCGUCUGCUGACCGUAAGGUCAGUGUUUCUUCCCUGCUGAUAGAGCUUUACGUAACGAAUUACUUCUUCACUCACGCGGCGUCGCUGCAUCAGGGUUUCCCCCAUUGUGCAAUAUUCCCCACUGCUGCCUCCCGUAGGGGUCUGGGCCGUGUCUCAGUCCCAAUGUGGCCGUCCGCCCUCUCAGGCCGGCUACUGAUCGUCGCCUUGGUGGGCCGUUACCCCGCCAACAAGCUAAUCAGACGCGGGUCCAUCUUACACCACCGGAGUUUUUCACACCGCUUCAUGCGAAGCUGUGCGCUUAUGCGGUUUUAGCACCUAUUUCUAAGUGUUAUCCCCCUGUGUAAGGCAGGUUACCCACGCGUUACUCACCCGUCCGCCACUAACCCAUAUAUCACUAGGUUUCAAUAUGGGUCCGUUCGACUUGCAUGUGUUAAGCACGCCGCCAGCGUUCAUCCUGAGCCAGGAUCAAACUCU